AUCCUUUUGUAGUUCAUAAGUGUGAUGAUUAGGUUUUCACAUUUGUGUGUGAGAUGUAUCUCCCUCAAACAUUUUAUGACAUCGGCAUAUUAUCCUUCUGAUG
ensembl:snoRNA